rnacentral:tRNA from 2 species
GCCUGGCUCCAGGCCGGGCUGGCGGGUCUGCCGGUGCUGGCGGCGGUGCUGAUGCCGCCGUUCGAUGCGCGGCGGGCCUGGCU